rnacentral:rRNA from 1 species
AGAGUUUGAUCCUGGCUCAGGAUGAACCGCUGGCGGCGUGCCUAAUACAUGCAAGUCGAGCGAACAGAUAAGGAGCUUGCUCCUUUGACGUUAGCGGCGGACGGGUGAGUAACACGUGGGUAACCUACCUAUAAGACUGGAAUAACUCCGGGAAACCGGGGCUAAUGCCGGAUAACAUUUAGAACCGCAUGGUCCUAAAGUGAAAGAUGGUUUUGCUAUCACUUAUAGAUGGACCCGCGCCGUAUUAGCUAGUUGGUAAGGUAACGGCUUACCAAGGCAACGAUACGUAGCCGACCUGAGAGGGUGAUCGGCCACACUGGAACUGAGACACGGUCCAGACUCCUACGGGAGGCAGCAGUAGGGAAUCUUCCGCAAUGGGCGAAAGCCUGACGGAGCAACGCCGCGUGAGUGAUGAAGGGUUUCGGCUCGUAAAACUCUGUUAUUAGGGAAGAACAAACGUGUAAGUAACUGUGCACGUCUUGACGGUACCUAAUCAGAAAGCCACGGCUAACUACGUGCCAGCAGCCGCGGUAAUACGUAGGUGGCAAGCGUUAUCCGGAAUUAUUGGGCGUAAAGCGCGCGUAGGCGGUUUCUUAAGUCUGAUGUGAAAGCCCACGGCUCAACCGUGGAGGGUCAUUGGAAACUGGGAGACUUGAGUGCAGAAGAGGAAAGUGGAAUUCCAUGUGUAGCGGUGAAAUGCGCAGAGAUAUGGAGGAACACCAGUGGCGAAGGCGACUUUCUGGUCUGUAACUGACGCUGAUGUGCGAAAGCGUGGGGAUCAAACAGGAUUAGAUACCCUGGUAGUCC